rnacentral:rRNA from 1 species
CCAAUAGCGUAUAUUAAAGUUGUUGCAGUUAAAAAGCUCGUAGUUGAAUUUCGGGGUCAGUAGGUUGGUCGUGCCACCGGUACGUACUGGUCUCACUGAUUCCUCCUUCCUGAUGAGCUGUAAUGCCAUUAAUUUGGUGUUGCAGGGAAUCUGGACUGUUACUUUGAAAAAAUUAGAGUGUUUAAAGCAGGCUAACGCUUGAAUACAUUAGCAUGGAAUAAUGAAAUAGGACGUUCGAUCCUAUUUUGUUGGUUUCUAGGAUUGACGUAAUGAUUAAUAGGGAGAGUUGGGGGCAUUAGUAUUCAAUUGUCAGAGAUGAAAUUCUUGGAUUUAUUGAAGACUAACUACUGCGAAAGCAUUUGCCAAGGAUGUUUUCAUUAAUCAAGAACGAAAGUUAGGAGAUCGAAGACGAUCAGAUACCGUCGUAGUCUUAACCAUAAACUAUGCCGACUAGGGAUCGGAUGAUGUUAAUUUUUUAGUGACUCAUUCGGCGCCUUACG